AUGCCCGCGGGUCAUCGUCCGUGGGCGCUUCCUCGAGCCGCCGCCGGUCCCCUCCGCCGAUCCGCAACGCGGAUCCGUGCCACCACGCCCGCGGGUCAUCGUCCGCGGGCGCUUCCUCGAGCCGCCGCUGGUCCCCUCCGUCGAGCCGCAGUGCGGAUCUGUGCCGCCACGCCCACGGGUCAUUGCCCGUGGGCGCUUCCUCCAGCCGCCGCCGGUCCCCUCCGUCGAUCCGCACCGCGGAUCCGUGCCGCCACGCCGGCGGGUCAUCGUCCGCGGGCGCUUCCUCGAGCUGCCGCCGCUCAGCCGAUCCGAGUAGUACUAUGUUUCUCUUGUUUUUGCAUACUGAAAAUGGGUGGGAACACCAGAGGAGGUGGACAUUAUGAAGCAUUGAAGAGCUACAAUCUGGGCAAAACGUUACGUGCAGGCACAUUUGGAAAAGUGAUGAUUGCAGACCAUAAGCUUACAGGACACAAAGUUGCUAUAAAGAUUCUGAACCGUCGUAAAAUGAAAACUACGGAAAUGGAAGAGAAAGCAAAUAGAGAAAUCAAGAUAUUGAGGUUGUUCAUUGACUUCAUUCACCCUCAUAUCAUCCGGAUUUAUGAGGUCAUUGAGACACCGACGGAUAUUUUUGUUGUGAUGGAAUAUUGCCAGAAUGGUGACCUAGUGGACUACAUUGUUGAGAAAAGGCGGUUACAGGAAGAUGAGGCCCGUCGAAUCUUCCAGCAGGUUAUCUCAGGUGAAUUGUACGCUGGACCUGAGGUUGAUGUUUGGAGCUGUGGGGUGAUACUUUAUGCUCUUCUUUGUGGUGCUGUUCCAUUCGAUGAUGACAACAUUCCCAAACUGUUCAAUAAGAUAAAGGAGAUUGACGAAGAUACACUUCAAGAUGUUGCCAAUCUGGGAUAUGACAAAGAUCAUGUGUGUGAAUCGUUGUGCAAUAGGCUAUAA
rnacentral:rRNA from 1 species